rnacentral:misc_RNA from 1 species
GUGAGUCAUCGAAUCUUUGAACGCACCUUGCGCUCCUUGGUAUUCCGAGGAGCAUGCCUGUUUGAGUGUCAUCGAAAUCUCACAUCGAAGCUCUGACCACCUGUCGGAGCCUCGGUUUGGAACAUGGGAGUCUGCGGGCGAACCCUGCUUCGUCCGCUCUCCUCAAAAGCAUUAGCGGUGGGUGCGAGCUCUUUAGCAUGGCACGGCCUCUUCGACGUCGUAACGAUCGUCGUGGGCUGGAAGUGCAUGACUCGAAGGACCCAUGCUUCUCAAGCCCCUUCUGUUGGGGGCCCAUCGAUGCUUGACCUCAAAUCAGGUAGGACUACCCGCUGAACUUAAGCAUAUCAAUAAGCGGAGGA